rnacentral:sRNA from 1 species
AAGGGACCUAGCGUAGUUCGGAAUUACUGGGCUUAAAGAGUUCGUAGGUGGUUGAAAAAGUUGGUGGUGAAAUCCCAGAGCUUAACUCUGGAACUGCCAUCAAAACUUUUCAGCUAGAGUAUGAUAGAGGAAAGCAGAAUUUCUAGUGUAGAGGUGAAAUUCGUAGAUAUUAGAAAGAAUACCAAUUGCGAAGGCAGCUUUCUGGAUCAUUACUGACACUGAGGAACGAAAGCAUGGGUAGCGAAGAGGAUUAGAUACCCUCGUAGUCCAUGCCGUAAACGAUGUGUGUUAGACGUUGGAAAUUUAUUUUCAGUGUCGCAGGGAAACCGAUAAACACACCGCCUGGGGAGUACGACCGCAAGGUUAAAACUCAAAUGAAUUGACGGGGACCCGCACAAGUAGUGGAGCAUGUGGUUUAAUUCGAAGAUACGCGCAGAACCUUACCAACACUUGACAUGUUCGUCGCGACUCUAAGAGAUUAGAGUUUUCGGUUCGGCCGGACGAAACACAGGUGCUGCAUGGCUGUCGUCAGCUCGUGUCGUGAGAUGUUGGGUUAAGUCCCGCAACGAGCGCAACCCUCACUUUUAGUUGCCAUCAUUAAGUUGGGCACUCUGAAAGAACUGCCAGUGAUAAGCUGGAGGAAGGUGGGGAUGACGUCAAGUCCUCAUGGCCCUUAUGUGUUGGGCUACACACGUGCUACAAUGGCAUCUACAACAGGAAGCAAAACGGCAACGUUAAGCAAAUCCCGAAAAGAUGCCUCAGUUCGGAUUGCACUCUGCAACUCGAGUGCAUGAAGCUGGAAUUACUAGUAAUCGUGGAUCAGCGUGCCACGGUGAAUGCGUUCCCGGGUCUUGUACACACCGCCCGUCACACCAUGGGAGUUGGUUCUACCUUAAGGCAAGGUUUCAAACCCUUGACCACGGUAUAGUCAGCGACUGGGGUGAAGUCGUAACAAGGUAGCCGUGGGGGAACCUGCGGCUGGAUUACCUCCUUUCUAAGGAUGAGUGAAAGUAAAAUUUCACUCUAAAUAAUAUACAUCGGUAAUGUUGACCGUCCUCAUUUCUCUUCUUAAAGUAAUGUUUCCUUCUUGUAGGGCCGGUAGCUCAGUUGGUUAGAGCACACCCUUGAUAAGGGUGGGGUCGAAAGUUCGAGUCUUUCUCGGCCCACCAAUAACUCAAUGGGGGAUUAGCUCAUCUGGGAGAGCGCCUGAUUUGCAUUCAGGAGGUAGCAGGUUCGAUCCCUGUAUCCUCCACCAGGAAACAUUUAGUUAUUAAAACUGUAAAUAAAAAUAAUUUAUAUCAAUAUCUAUAUCCGAACAUUAAAAGUUAUUAUUUAAUGUUCAAAAUAAAAAUUUGAUCACAACACAAAUUAAAAUUUCUUUAAAAAGAAUUUUUUUCUGUGCAUAAAUCAAGCGUUUAAGGGCGUGUAGUGGAUGCCUUGGCACUGAAAGCCGAUGAAGGACGUGAUAUACUGCGAUAAGUUUCGGGGAGCUGUAUGUAAGCUUUGAUCCGAAAAUUU